AUUUUGCUCCUCACUUGUAACUUUUCCUCACUUAGCUUUAGAAAUAAUUGCUUCUCCAAUCAAUCAGGUUUAUAGAAAUUUUAUUGAAUAAUUUUGUAGACUGUCAAAUUAUAAUAACAAUAUCAAUGUAAAAAUAGCUAACCAAGGAACUUUCUGAUCUCAACUGACAUUCUCAUUAUACAAUAUUUCUUCAACUUUAUAAGU
rnacentral:misc_RNA from 1 species